AUUGAACGCUGGCGGCAGGCCUAACACAUGCAAGUCGAGCGGAUGAAGAGAGCUUGCUCUCUGAUUUAGCGGCGGACGGGUGAGUAAUGCCUAGGAAUCUGCCUGGUAGUGGGGGAUAACGUUCCGAAAGGAACGCUAAUACCGCGUACGUCCUACGGGAGAAAGCAGGGGACCUUCGGGCCUUGCGCUAUCAGAGGAGCCUAGGGAGGAUUAGCUGGUUGGUGAGGUAAUGGACCACCAAGGCGACGAUCCGUAACUGGUCUGAGAGGAUGAUCAGUCACACUGGAACUGAGACACGGUCCAGACUCAUACGGGAGGCAGCAGUGGGGAAUAUUGGACAAUGGGCGAAAGCCUGAUCCAGCCAUGCCGCGUGUGUGAAGAAGGUCUUCGGAUUGUAAAGCACUUUAAGUUGGGAGGAAGGGCAGUAAGUUAAUACCUUGCUGUUUUGACGUUACCGACAGAAUAAGCACCGGCUAACUUCGUGCCAGCCGCCGCGGUAAAAC
rnacentral:rRNA from 1 species